CAGGCCUAACACAUGCAAGUCGAACGAGAACGGAUUAUAGCUUGCUAUAAUUGUCAGCUAAGUGGCGCACGGGUGAGUAAUAUAUAGAUAACCUGCCCUCUAGAAAGGAAUAACAGUUGGAAACGACUGCUAAUGCCCUAUAUGCCUUUAAUACAUAAGUAUGCAAGGGAAACGCUUUAGUGCUAGAGGAUGGGUCUGUAUGGUAUCAGCUUGUUGGUGAGGUAAUGGCUCACCAAGGCUAUGACGCCUAACUGGUUUGAGAGGAUGAUCAGUCACACUGGAACUGAGACACGGUCCAGACUCCUACGGGAGGCAGCAGUGGGGAAUAUUGCACAAUGGACGAAAGUCUGAUGCAGCAACGCCGCGUGGAGGAUGACACAUUUCGGUGCGUAAACUCCUUUUAUAUGGGAAGUAAUGACGGUACCAUAUGAAUAAGCACCGGCUAACUCCGUGCCAGCAGCCGCGGUAAUACGGAGGGUGCAAGCGUUACUCGGAAUCACUGGGCGUAAAGAGCGUGUAGGCGGGUAUAUAAGUCAGAAGUGAAAUCCAAUAGCUUAACUAUUGAACUGCUUUUGAAACUGUGUACCUAGAAUGUGGGAGAGGUAGAUGGAAUUUCUGGUGUAGGGGUAAAAUCCGUAGAGAUCAGAAGGAAUACCGAUUGCGAAGGCGAUCUACUGGAACAUUAUUGACGCUGAGACGCGAAAGCGUGGGGAGCAAACAGGAUUAGAUACCCUGGUAGUCCACGCCCUAAACGAUGCACACUAGUUGUUGUGAGGCUAGACCUUGCAGUAAUGCAGUAACACAUUAAGUGUGCCGCCUGGGGAUAACGGUCGCAGGAUUUAAACUCAAAGGAAUUGACGG
rnacentral:rRNA from 1 species